GGUGUAGUGGUUUGAAUGACAGACUACAACUCUGGAGAUUAGGGUUCAAAUCCUUGCUAUUCCU
rnacentral:tRNA from 1 species